UACGGGGGGGGCAAGCGUUGUUCGGAAUUACUGGGCGUAAAGGGCUCGUAGGCGGCCAACUAAGUCAGACGUGAAAUCCCUCGGCUUAACCGGGGAACUGCGUCUGAUACUGGUUGGCUUGAAUCCGGGAGAGGGAUGUGGAAUUCCAGGUGUAGGCGGUGAAAUGCGUAGAUAUCUGGAGGAACACCGGUGGCGAAGGCGGCAUCCUGGACCGAGAUUGACGCUGAGGCGCGAAAGCCAGGGGAGCAAACGGG
rnacentral:rRNA from 1 species